AUGACUCAUACGUCUGAAACCUCAGGAACAAGUUCUCUAUCUCAGCUGCAUCCUCUGAGAUUUUGGUUCCCCCCAUAUUUGGGACUUUGGUUCCCGCCUUCUUUGGGGCUUUGGUUCCCCUGUUCUCUGGGGCUUUGCUUUCACCCUUCUUUGAGGUCUUGGUUUCACCUGUCUUUCGGGCUUUGGGUUCCAUCUUCUCUGGGGCUUUUACUUCCCCCUUCUUUGGAGCUUUGGUUUCCUUCACUGGGAUUUUGGAUUCCUUCCACUCUGGGGAUUUGGUUUCCUUUUCUGGAGGUUUGCUUUUCUUCUCUGGUAUUUUGGUUUCCUUCUUUUCUGGAGGUUUGUUUUUCUUCUCUGGUAUUUUGGUUUCCUUCUUUUCUGAAGGUUUGCUUUUCUUCUCUGGGGCUUUGUUUUCCUUCUCUGGGGCCUUGGUUUCCUUCCCCUCUGGUGAUUUGGUUUCCCCCUUCUCUGGGGGUUUGGUUUUCCCCUUCUCUGGUUUUGGAGGUUGGAUACCCACAGAGACACCCUUCUUGUCCUCCUUCCGCCUCUCUUCCUCCUUCCGCCUUUCUUCCUCCUUCUGCCUCUCCUCCUCCUCUAAGGCUUUUACUUCCCGCUGAUGCCUUUGAACCAGCCACUUCAGCAAACUUCAGCAAACAAAACAGAAAACAUUGCUGAGAGUCACCACCAGAAAUUGAGCUCACCAGUCCUGACUGGCCCUGCACUUCAUUCCUUGACCCUAAGGCCAGGCAGAACCACCAGACCAUUUCCGUAAAUUUUUCUCAACCCACAGAGGCUGGGAACAUCCCAAGUGAGGGCAUUGGUGGAAGGGGACUUCCAGGACCAACCAAACCUGAACCAUGCCAUCAUAAAGGUCUUGGCUGUGCAAGCUCCCUCUUAAGGCACAGCCAGACCCCUCCAGCCCCUGCCAAAGGCUGAUCCACCAGCUCUCUGUGCUGAUGCCUGAAAACGCCCUUUGCCUCUUAAUUUCCCAGUUUAAAGCAGAGCACAGAUGGCCAACAUCUGCUUAUCUCUCCUACAAUUCUUACUCAGCUCAUUCAGCACCCCUCAGGGUACAGCCUGCUCCUUAAUGACAAUAAUCCUAUCAGUCAGAAAGCAAAGGCUGCAGGAACUCCUCUCCUGCAAGACAGGCUCUUGUCAGNUGCUC
rnacentral:lncRNA from 1 species